rnacentral:rRNA from 1 species
AGAGUUUGAUCCUGGCUCAGGACGAACGCUGGCGGCGUGCCUAAUACAUGCAAGUCGAGCGGACCUUUCGGGGUCAGCGGCGGACGGGUGAGUAACACGUGGGCAAUCUGCCCGAUACUCUGGGAUAACGCUUGGAAACGAGUGCUAAUACCGGAUGGUCUUCUUGGCCGCAUGGCCGAGAAGGAAAAGACGCGUUCGCGUCGGUGUCGGAUGAGCCCGCGGCGCAUUAGCUAGUUGGUGAGGUAACGGCCCACCAAGGCGACGAUGCGUAGCCGACCUGAGAGGGUGACCGGCCACACUGGGACUGAGACACGGCCCAGACUCCUACGGGAGGCAGCAGUAGGGAAUCUUCCACAAUGGGCGAAAGCCUGAUGGAGCAACGCCGCGUGAGUGAUGAAGGCCUUCGGGUUGUAAAACUCUGUCAUUCGGGACGAACCGGAGUCUGAGGAAAUGCAGACUCUCUGACGGUACCGGAGGAGGAAGCCCCGGCUAACUACGUGCCAGCAGCCGCGGUAAUACGUAGGGGGCAAGCGUUGUCCGGAUUCACUGGGCGUAAAGCGCGCGCAGGCGGUGAUGUAAGUCUGA